GACAAAGUGAUGAUGGUUCGAUAAUCUUGCAGAACGAUAAUGUUGUUAGUGAAUUUCUCCGAUUUAAAAGUGCAGUUUGCAACAAGAAGUAGAGGGAUACUCUUUGAAUGCAUAGUGAAACGAAGACAAUCUGUAUUGCGAAUUAAUACCUAUGGCUUCUCAGAGAUGAAAAUGUACCGAGAGUGACCAAGACACCAUGAAUGGCGUCAGAUCCAAUUCUAUUGCGCAGGCGCAAAGGCUGCCGGCCUCGUGACCUGGCACAAGAGCUGGUGUGUACAAUAUCAUUGUGUACUUGAGUAGUGUCCACCCAAGAAAUGUAUCUUCAGUUACAGUCAGCCUUCCCAAAGGAGUGACUGGAAUCAUCACCACUGGCAGUUUAAG